UAAUGGCCCUUCCAAUAAGGUCGGGAGAUGCUGAAGCAUUGUUUGUUUUUCGAAUAUAAUUCCUAAAUCCUCAUUUCUUAUGUUAAAGAAGAAACAAAACGAAAAAUUCUGUUUCAUCACACUGAAACAACUUGAGCCAACUAUCCCCUUCAAAAAAGAGCCUUACCCCUAUAGGGGGUUGGUCCACUAUUUAUUAUUUAUAAAAUGUUUGCGAACAGCCAAAAAAAUUUUUAUGUAAGCCAAUUAAAGCUGAAUGAAUGAUGAAUUCAUCCGUUUAAAGCUUAUAAGUUUAAAUCACUUACCUACGCCAAGAAAAAGAAAAGCACGGAGGAAAAAAAAGUUUGUCGGCAGUUGUCAAAAUCGUUUUUCGUAUGCUGUUCGUUUUUUUUGCACAGUAGAAAAACUGAAACAACGUCAGACCAUCUAAUUGUCGAUUUUGAAACUAUUGGCUAUUUUGAAAACAGCAUGUUGUAAUUAACGGAUUUUUAAAUUAGAAAUGAGCAACCUACCCCGUGAGCCAACUAGCCCCGGUCUCCCGUACUGUCACAGGACAAAUUAGAUGAUUCUUUUGAUGAUGCAACGUGUGAAAAUGACCUUACAUCAUCUGAGCAUACUUCACUACAAGCGAAAGACAUACUGGCUGACAACUGUAACUCAACCAUGGCAAAAAUAUUGGUUGAAUGCACCAAAAACCCUUUGGGCAGACAAAGCUGUGUCAUGGUAUAGGAGUUAUAUGGUACGCGUACUCGAGAGGGCGAAAGUGGGACAAAAAUUGGAAUCGUCUAUUUUGGCAACUCUGGCCGGGUGUGUAACUAGAGGGCCUACUUUAACGUAGGCUCUUAUGGGACUACCCCUUUUGAACUGUUACAUUAAGGUGUUUGAAUUUUUUUUUUCAUUUAGAAAAA